AUUGAACGCUGGCGGCAUGCUUUACACAUGCAAGUCGAACGGCAGCGCGGGCUUCGGCCUGGCGGCGAGUGGCGAACGGGUGAGUAAUGCAUCGGAACGUGCCCAGUAGUGGGGGAUAGCCCGGCGAAAACCGGAUUAAUACCGCAUACGACCUGAGGGUGAAAGCGGGGGACCGAAAGGCCUCGCGCUAUCGGAGCGGCCGAUGUCGGAUUAGCUAGUUGGUGGGGUAAAGGCUUACCAAGGCGACGAUCCGUAGCUGGUCUGAGAGGACGACCAGCCACACUGGGACUGAGACACGGCCCAGACUCCUACGGGAGGCAGCAGUGGGGAAUUUUGGACAAUGGGGGCAACCCUGAUCCAGCCAUGCCGCGUGCGGGAAGAAGGCCUUCGGGUUGUAAACCGCUUUUGUUCGGGAAGAAAUCCUCUGGGCUAAUACCCCGGGGGGAUGACGGUACCGGAAGAAUAAGCACCGGCUAACUACGUG
rnacentral:rRNA from 1 species